UAUAAACACUAUGGUAACCAACGCAGGACCCAUCACUGGCUUUAGGCCAGUGUUUUAGAAGUGCAUGCUGGUUACAGAUGGGAGAUCUUUCCAGGGGAUGCAGACAAGGGAGUGUUCCACCAUCAGUUAAUGUUUGUGGAGUGUGGAAGCCCUUGAGCUAGUGUUCGUACAUCCUCCAUCUUCAGCCGAGCACAAUGGCCAUGGGAAACAUUUGGACCAUCAACUGAGUUACCUCCUCCAGCAAAAUUAGGGGGAAGGAGGAUGGUGUGCCCCAUAUGUAUUAGCAUGUGUGUCUUUGGUCCCAUUAUUAUUUCUAUAUAACCUGGUAUUAUUUCUAGCAGCACCAUCUGACAGGAAGGGGCUGCUGUUCUCAGACGGGGCUUCAUGUGUCACAAGAGACGAUCAUCUCCCCCCACGCUCCUGGAGGGUGUUUCAUGCCGAGCUGAAAAGAAAAGGAGGCAAAGAAAGGGAGCUCUUCAUGGCCGAGCCCCAUGUGGCAGGGAGCUCGCUGCCCACUCUCAACAUUGCGCCCACGGCACCACCCUGGCGGAGAGAGACAGCACAAGGAGUGACUGUUCAAGUCGGCAAUUCAUGGCAAACUAUUGCUUUGACUUCUUUCCCUGCUUGCAUACUUAACCCUAAGCAUGUCAGAAAAAGCAUUGUUCUGAGUGCUCGCGGCAGACUCCAGAUUGUAGGCACCGCACUUGCAACUGGCUAGACAGGGCACGCAGGAUUUUCUCCUGUUUCUGAGUCACUGGUUUGGCAGACAUUUGCAUCACCAGUCCUUAAAAGUGCAAAUACAACUUUCAGUCUCCUUGGGUACUCACGAGGUAACACUGAAAAACGCUCUUGGCAGUUUUUUGCUAGCAAGAUACGCUCUGGUUUAUAUUUAGGGAAUACAAAUACGGAAUAGUUCUGAAUUCAGCCCAGAAAUCCAUGUAAAAUAUUCCUAUAAUUCUAUUUACAGAUUGUUUCUGUGAAUGUUGUAACAGGCAGAGGUAAGGGUAUCUCUGUCUCUGGGGACUCUGUACUGUGAACAGGGGGUCCAUAAAAACACAUUGCUGGGGUCCCGUGUCCCCACCAACACACCCAGUGACAUUUUGCCAUGACCCCCCACUGUGCAUCAUGGUCAGUGCCUGUGAUUCCUUUGAUGAUUCUUGUGAUAUUUAGUCGUAUUUUUCUCAAAGUUCUGCCUCUUGUUCUCCAUGACUAAGAAGUAA